CAGUGAAACCCUUCACUACGGAUCGUUCGGCACGUACCUGCCGAUGAAAGGAUGAACAA
rfam:Bifidobacterium psychraerophilum strain LMG 21775 Contig08, whole genome shotgun sequence.